rnacentral:rRNA from 1 species
CUAACCUGCUAAAUAGUACAGUUGCAAUUAUUAUGUGGACCUCUGUCUUUGUGCCUCUGGUGCAGAGACGGAACCACAUAAGCAGGUGAAACUUCUUAGAGGAACUGGCGCCCGAAAAGGCGCACGAGAAAGAGCAAUAACAGGUCUGUGAUGCCCUAAGAUGUCCGGGGCCGCACGCGUGCUACAAUGACGAUGCUACUGAGCAUGAUUAACUUGUCCGAAAGGAUUGGUGAAACUGUUCAAUCAUCGUCGUGACUGGGAUUGAGGUUUGUAAUUAUCCCUCAUGAACCAGGAAUUCCUAGUAAGCACAAGUCAUAAGCUUGUGCUGAUUACGUCCCUGCCCUUUGUACACACCGCCCGUCGCUACUACCGAUUGAAUGGUUUAGCAAGGACAUUGGAUCGAGCCUUUGUGGUUCACGCUGCUUUGGUUUGAGAAGAUGUCCGAACUUGAUCAUUUAGAGGAAGUAAAAGUCGUAACAAGGUUUCCGUAGGUGAACCUGCGGAAGGAUCAUUA